rnacentral:rRNA from 1 species
AGCGAACGCUGGCGGCAUGCCUAACACAUGCAAGUCGAACGAACCUUUCGGGGUUAGUGGCGGACGGGUGCGUAACACGUGGGAACGUGCCCUUAGGUUCGGAAUAACUCAGGGAAACUUGUGCUAAUACCGAAUGAUCCCUUCGGGGGAAAGAUUUAUCGCCUUUAGAUCGGCCCGCGUUUGAUUAGCUAGUUGGUUGAGGUAAUGGCUCACCAAGGCGACGAUCAUUAGCUGGUCUGAGAGGAUGAUCAGCCACAUUGGGACUGAGACACGGCCCAAACUCCUACGGGAGGCAGCAGUGGGGAAUCUUGCGCAAUGGGCGAAAGCCUGACGCAGCCAUGCCGCGUGAAUGAUGAAGGUCUUAGGAUUGUAAAAUUCUUUCACCGGGGACGAUAAUGACGGUACCCGGAGAAGAAGCCCCGGCUAACUUCGUG